AUUGAACGCUGGCGGCAUGCUUUACACAUGCAAGUCGAACGGCAGCACGGACUUCGGUCUGGUGGCGAGUGGCGAACGGGUGAGUAAUACAUCGGAACGUACCCAGUAAUGGGGGAUAACUAUCCGAAAGGAUAGCUAAUACCGCAUAAGCCCUACGGGGGAAAGAGGGGGAUCGCAAGACCUCUUGUUAUUGGAGCGGCCGAUGGCUGAUUAGCUAGUUGGUGGGGUAAAGGACUACCAAGGCAACGAUCAGUAGCGGGUCUUAGAGGACGAUCCGCCACACUGGAACUGAGACACGGUCCAGACUCCUACGGGAGGCAGCAGUGGGGAAUCUUGGACAAUGGGCGCAAGCCUGAUCCAGCAAUGCCGCGUGCGUGAAGAAGGCCUUCGGGUUGUAAAGCGCUUUUGUCAGGGAGCAAAUCCUUGUGGCUAAUACCCACCGGGGAUGAGAGUACCUGAAGAAUAAGGACCGGCUAACUACGUGCCAGCAGCCGCCGUAACAC
rnacentral:rRNA from 1 species